rnacentral:rRNA from 1 species
CUCAACCCGGGAAUUGCAUCCGAUACUGGCGUGCUAGAGUGCAGUAGAGGGAGGUAGAAUUCCAGGUGUAGCGGUGAAAUGCGUAGAGAUCUGGAGGAAUACCAGUGGCGAAGGCGGCCUCCUGGACUGACACUGACGCUGAGGCGCGAAAGCGUGGGUAGCAAACAGGAUUAGAUACCCUGGUAGUCCACGCCGUAAACGAUGUCAACUAGUCGUUGGGUUCCAUUGAGAACUUGGUGACGCAGCUAACGCGCUAAGUUGACCGCCUGGGGAGUACGGCCGCAAGGUUAAAACUCAAAUGAAUUGACGGGGGCCCGCACAAGCGGUGGAGCAUGUGGUUUAAUUCGAUGCAACGCGAAGAACCUUACCAGGUCUUGACAUCCCCGGAACUUGGCAGAGAUGCCUUGGUGCCUUCGGGAGCCG